CUGAAGAGGUUAUCAGUUCAGCUCUAGUCUAGAAAUAAAUAGGUUGGUAUCUCUAAACGUGGCUAUCGUUUACACAUACACCUGAAAUCCUGAAAGGGUGAUAAUUGUCUCCAAACCCAAGGGAAAACAGGCUCUUUUCCUGAGAUUUGUACAGAAGAGACAAAGUCACUUCUCACAUGUCAGCCGAGUUUGCGGUUGGGCUGUGACUCACACAAACCACCUGGGGAAUGAGUAACCUCAGAGAAGAAAGGAAAAAAAGAGAAGGAAACACGUUCAAGUUCUAUGAUCAUCUUUGACACUGAGACCUAUGAACAGGGUAUGGCACAAGCUGGCUUCAGCACAGAAGGAACUGCAUGUACCUGGGCUAAGACCCUGCCAUGCCAGACCAGAGGAGGACUGCUUGGUGACCAGGCAGGCACAGUAAGCACAGAGAACACACUUGGCCUCUCUCCUUCAGACCCUGACAGGAAACAAAACACUUUCCUCCAGGCCACCACAGGCCUUUGUAGCAAGCCAUGGUGCCACUGGCUGGCUUUCUCAGAGAGAACUGUUCUCUGCUACUUUACAAUGCAUUUCCCAAGAAGCAAAACCCAGAUUUUCCCAGAGAGUCUGGAGUCCCUCCAUUUGUUAGUGAAAAGUGGAGGGAGGGUUUCUUCCGACGGAGAGGUUGGUGGCCUGGAGGCCCAGCCCCAGAGCCCCUCCUUCAGGCCAUUUUCCCUAAUAAGCCAGACCCCCUGCUCUCACGACUGUCUGAGCCACGCCCAGGGCCCUGCUCCGUACGCCCCGCCCCGCCCAUAGAUGGCGGCGCCCUAGUGCCGCUAAUGACGCCAGAGACGCGACUCUGUUUUACUAUUCCUAGGAGCAGAAGACAGCGGAAAGCGUGGCUUUGGCAAUUUAGGGGCGCAAACUCCCAGGGGCGUGGGACGAUGAACUGGAAGAGGGGGCUUGGGCCUCGGUGCGGGCGCCAGGCAGGCCGCUGGAAAGUCCGCGCCAAGCCCGCUGGCCUCUCGUCGCCCAGGGACGCCGGUGGAAAUGGUCGCACGUUCUUGUCGCACCUUCUUGCCUCUGAGCGAGCACUGUGAGAACCACACUACCUGAACGGCGCCACGUUGCCCAUUGUCGCCGGUGUCCCUCGACCCCAUGUCGUGUCACACGUGUGCGCCGUGCCGCGACCUCGCGUUCCCAGGGGCUGAUCCAGAAGGGCCGCUUCUAGUUGGUUCUGAGGUCAUCGAAACCGCCUCUGAGGUUUCGGGCUUUUGUCAGUGAAGUAAAGGGGAGGCAGAGAUGGCGAUGGGUUUGUUGACCGGAUCGUGGCUGAGCGCCCUGUAGGGGUUGAGUGACACGGGCCGUGGGCGUGAGUGUUGGGGGCGAAGUUCUCGGACCAGCGAGUGAUGGAUUGAUUGAGUCAUUGAGGGACUGUUUCCCGAGUGCCCAGCUCGAGUGCAUAACUGAGACCACGGUUCACCAACUUCAGGCUCCAGUUUAUCUGCGCCCACACUUCCUCAUUUAGUCUGCGAAGACCCAUUCUGAGGCUCCAGGAGGAGGGUAUCUAGUUUCCAAACCAGAUGGGAUCUUCAGGUUGGGACCAGAAGAGUCCAAGAUGACAGACAGAGGAACCCUGAUGCAGAGCCGUCUAGGUGAAAUCUGGAGGAACAAAGGACACUGUAGAAGCGCACAGAUUGGCUUCAUAAAGGAAUGUGAACUAUGAAAUGUAAAUCAGAGUAGUGGCUAAUGCUUGCUAUACUGGUUGUUCUAUUUACACUUUAAGAAAAUAAUCUCCUGGCUCGGCACUGGUAGCUCAGUGAGUAAGGGCGCCAGCCACAUACACUGAGGCUGGUGGGUUUGAGCCUGGCUGGGCCUGCUAAACAACAAUGACAACUCCAACCAAAAAAUAGCCAGGCAUUGUGGUGGGCACCUGUAGUCCCAGUUACUCGGGAGGCUGAGGCAAGAGAAUCUCUUAAGAGUUUGAGGUUGCUGUGAGCUGUGAUGCCAUGGCAUUCUACUGAGGGUGACAUAAUGAGACUCUGUCUCAACAACAACAACAAAAGAAAGAAAAGAAACUCCUUAUGAUUUAGUUUUAUCAUCUAUAAAAUAUCAGGAGGUGUGUAUGGAGACUGUCAUCUUCCCUACUUAAUAGUGUUGCCAUGAGAAUCAGAGGAAUUCAUCAGUGUAAUGUUUUUAUAAAAUAAAACCCCUUUACUUAAAGAAUCAAUAUUAAAACAGUGAAUUUUAAGAACUGAUGGCAAGGAUUAAGGGAAAUGGAGGAAAAGAAAAAAUGAAUAUCCAAUAGCAAUCACUGGGAUCAGAAUAAGCACUGUUUUGUAUUUGGUUUCUGGAGGUUUGUGUUUGCAUCAGUUUGUUCUUAUUAUCCACGGGACCUCAAGUUACUCACUGUAGUGCUUUCUCAUCUGUAAAAUCUGGAUGAGGAUGGAGUGUAAAAGCAAGUAGGAAGAUGUUUUAAUUCUCAUUAUAUAUUUUAAGACAGAGUGUCACUUUGUCACCCCUGAUAGAGUGUCAAGGCAUCAUAGCUCACAGCAAUGUCAAACUCUUGGGCUCAAGUGAUUCUCUUGCCUCAGCCUCCCAAGUAGUUGGGACUACAGGUGCCCACCACAACGCCCAGCUAUUUUUAGAGAUGAGGUCUUGCGCUGGCUCAAGCUGGUCUCAAACCUGUGAGCUCAGGCAAUCCACCUGCCUCAUCCUCCCAGAGUGUUAUGAUUACAGGCGUGAGCCACUGCAUCCAGCUCAAGAGACACCCACAUGGAUAAUAGAAAAUAUGUGUAGAUAUAUCAAUGUGGAAUGAUCUGGGCAGAAUAUAAAGUAGUGUCAUAUGUUGAAAAUACGGCUAAACAGAAAAAUGUGUGAAGAGAAAGAAAAAUCAGAAAACUAUGCAAAAGAUUUUAAAUACUUACUGAUAAUUACUGGAAAUUUGAGACUAUAAUCAGAGGAAUUUAAAAAUCAUAAAUUCCAAUGUCCAAAUUUAGCCAUUAUUAAUAGUAAGGUAUAUUUUAUUCCUCGUUUUUUUUUUUUUGAGACAGAGCCUCAAGCUGUCACCCUGGGUAGAGUGCUGUGGCAUCAUAGCUCACAGCAACCUCCAACUCCUUGGCUCAAGUAAUUCUCCUGCCUCCGCCUGCCACAAUGCCCGGCUAUUUUUUUGGUUGCAGCCAUCAUUGUUGUUUGGCGGGCCUGGGUUGGAUUCGAACCCGCCAACUCAGGUGUAUGUGGCUGGCACCUUAAGCUGCUUGAGCCACAGGCACUGAGCCUCUUCCUCACUUUUAUUCUGUAUAUGUCUCUCUCUACAUGAGAUCAACACAUAGAUAAAAUAGAUACUGAAAUCAAAUGUUAGAUAUCCUUUUUUUUUUUUUUUUUUUGAGACAGAGUCUCAAGCUGUCGCCCUGGGUAGAGUGCCAUGGCAUCACAGCUCAUAGCAACCUCCAACUCCUGGGCUUAAACGAUCCUCUUGUCUCAGCAUCCCAAGUAGCUGGGACAACAGGCGCCUGCCACAAUGCCUGGCCAUUUUUUGGUUGUAGUUGUCAUUGUUGUUUGGCAGGCCCAGGCUGGAUUUGAACCUGUCAGCUCUGGUGUAUGUGGUUGGCGCCUUAGCUGCUUGAGCUACAGGCGCUGAGCCAGAUAUCCUUCUUGUGUUAUUUUAUAACACAGAUCAUAAAAUACAGUAUUAUACCAUUCUUUACCAUGAAUAUUUCCGAAAAUUCUUAAAUAUGAAUUCAUUAUUGACAGCGUAUUAUUCCAACUUAUGAAUAAAUCAAGCUAUUCAUUCACCUAACAAUGUUUAUUCAAGUUGCUUAUUUCAAUUAAUACUGCUCUUAUAGGAUCUUCCCUGGAAAUAGGGACCUCCCAUUGCCCUACCAUAAUUAUUUAAGAGAGAAUAUAUUAAUAAAGAAGAGUAUAGCCUUUCUCCAUAGAUGUUUGCACUUCUGUACUGAUGUUAGGUAAAAUGUACGUGCAAAGUCUCCUGUGUGGGUUUCUUUUGUUUGGGUAUCUGCUGGUAUAUCUUUUCUCAAAUGAAUUAAUAUUUAAGGAUUAUCUAUUUCAGAUUCAUUUGGGAGAUUGGCUUAGUAAUUAUUGAUGUUUUUUCUCUGUCCUCCUGCUUACAAAUGUAUAAUUUAUAUUUUAAAGCCUUAUAACCUAUUCUGCAGAGAAUAUGUAUACAAUUUAUAAUUGCUUGAUUUUAACUUUUCUUACCUUUUGUAUAAUGGCAUAUCUGUAACAUGAUUUUGAUCAUAAUAUAGUAUCUAGGAAAACUGGGUUCUGCAACUUAUUAAAUUGAUAGCAUCUUCUUAACUAAAUGCUCUGAUAUAAAGUGACACUUCUUUCCAAAGGAUUUUCAUUUGCUAUAUUCAUGCUUUUGGACUUUCAUGAAUUAUUUGAUGUAUAAUAUAUUAAAAUUCAUUGGUGCUGGGCAGUUUGGGAGGCCGAGGCAGGAGGACUGCUUGGGGCCGUAAGCUUGAGACCAGCCUGGGCAAUGUAGCAAGACCCUAUUUCUAAAAAACAAACAAACAAAAAAACAAAUGAAUAAAAAAUUUUGCCACAUUA